rnacentral:rRNA from 1 species
CCUACGGGAGGCAGCAGUGGGGAAUAUUGCACAAUGGGGGAAACCCUGAUGCAGCGACGCCGCGUGAGCGAUGAAGUAUUUCGGUAUGUAAAGCUCUAUCAGCAGGGAAGAAAAUGACGGUACCUGACUACGAAGCCCCGGCUAACUACGUGCCAGCAGCCGCGGUAAUACGUAGGGGGCAAGCGUUAUCCGGAUUUACUGGGUGUAAAGGGAGCGUAGACGGCUUGGCAAGUCAGAUGUGAAAGGCUGGGGCUCAACCCAAGGACUGCAUUUGGAACUGUCAUGCUAGAGUGUCGGAGAGGCAGGCGGAAUGCCUAGUGUAGCGGUGAAAGGCGUAGAGAUUAGGAGGAACACCAGUGGCGAAGGCGGCCUACUGGACGAUGACUGACGUUGAGGCACGAAAGCGUGGGGAGCAAACAGGAUUAGAUACCCGUGUAGUC